rnacentral:rRNA from 1 species
GACGAACGCUGGCGGCGUGCCUAAUACAUGCAAGUAGAACGCAGUUGCGAACGGGUGAGUAACGCGUAGGUAACUGCCUGGUAGCGGGGGAUAACUAUUGGAAACGAUAGCUAAUACCGCAUACUACCAGAUGGACCUGCGUUGUAUUAGCUAGUUGGUGGGGUAACGGCUCACCAAGGAACCGAUACAUAGCCGACCUGAUAGGGUGAUCGGCUACACCUGGACUGAGACAAGACCAAGACUCCUACGGGAGGAAUCAGAAUGGAAUCUUAGGCAAUGGACGGAAGUCUGACCGAGCAACGCCGCGUGAGUGAAGAAGGUAUUCGGAGCGUAAAGCUCUGUUGUAAGAGAAGCGGUAUCUUACCAGAAAGGGACGGCUAACUACGAGCCAGCCGCCGCGGUAAUUC